CAGCAGCCGCGGGAAUACGGAGGGUGCAAGCGUUAAUCGGAAUUACUGGGCGUAAAGCGCACGCAGGCGGUCUGACAAGUCAGAUGUGAAAUCCCCGGGCUUAACCUGGGAACUGCAUUUGAAACUGUCAGGCUGGAGUCUUGUAGAGGGGGGUGGAAUUCCAGGUGUAGCGGUGAAAUGCGUAGAGAUCUGGAGGAAUACCGGUGGCGAAGGCGGCCCCCUGGACAAAGACUGACGCUCAGGUGCGAAAGCGUGGGGAGCAAACAGGAUUAGAUACCCGAGUAGUCCCUGUCUCUUAUAC
rnacentral:rRNA from 1 species